rnacentral:rRNA from 1 species
UACGGGGGGAGCGAGCGUUGUUCGGAUUUACUGGGCGUAAAGGGCGCGUAGGCGGCGCAACAAGUCACUUGUGAAAUCUCCGGGCUUAACCCGGAGCGGCCAAGUGAUACUGUCGUGCUAGAGUGCGGAAGGGGCAGGCGGAAUUCCGGGUGUAGCGGUGGAAUGCGUAGAGAUCCGGAGGAAGACCGGUGGCGAAGGCGGCCUGCUGGGCAGUUACUGACACUGAGGCGCGACAGCGUGGGGAGCAAACAGG